rnacentral:rRNA from 1 species
CUCCCUACGGGGGGCAGCAGUGGGGGAUAUUGCACAAUGGGGGGAACCCUGAUGCAGCGACGCCGCGUGGGUGAAGGAGCGUUUCGGCGCGUAAAGCCCUAUCGGCAGGGAAGAAGGAGGACGGUACCUGACUAAGAAGCCCCGGCUAACUACGUGCCAGCAGCCGCGGUAAUACGUAGGGGGCAAGCGUUGUCCGGAAUGACUGGGCGUAAAGGGUGCGUAGGCGGCAUAAUAAGUUAGAAGUGAAAUACCCAGAGCUUAACUCGGGUGCUGCUUCUAAGACUGUUGAGCUUGAGUGCGGGAGG